CUUUAUUUCUGUUUCACAGGAAAGAAGUCCGGAGGCAAGCAGUCUGGGCUGCCAGGCGGCUUCUCAUGUCAGGAUCCUGAGCUAAAGCUGUCCAGCUACUGGGGCAUCCUCAGUAUCUCUCUCCUACCUCCUCAAAGUCCAAGGGGGCUGUUCAAGCGCCACCCAUCACAUCAUUAUUCCUGCAGCUGGAAGGUGGAGGAAGGAGGGAAGAAGGGCAUGCCUCUGUCUGUCCAGGAGCUUCCCUAAAGUUGUCCUAGCUACUUUUAACAUCCCUUCGGCUACAACUGAGUCACGUGACCAAGCUCCUGCCAAAGGAGGCUGGGAGAAAUGCUUUGCUAUAAAUAGAGGACAUGGGGCAGGGGAGAACAGGUUUGGGACUCCUUUACCCUCUCUGCCACCGUCCAUCCUCUGCCAUCAUGAAGACGCCAGCAUGUUCUGGGCCAGCCUUCCCUCUGGCCUCUCCCCCUCGUGCAGGAACAAGGCAUGUCACCCACCUAGGUGACAGCACCACACACCUCCAGUCC
rnacentral:lncRNA from 1 species